rnacentral:lncRNA from 1 species
UGUAAUUUAGUGAUUAUGCACAAGUAAAUUUCAAGAGGCAAUGUCAUAGUACAGGGCCUGACUUCAAGUAUUUAUCCAUACAAGAUUCCUUCUACUCACUUGCAGCUAGAAUUCUGAGAUUCAUGUACAUCAAAAACAUAUUUUAGGAGAAGGGAAAGGAUGUCAGACUGCUCCGAUACAAGAUACUUACACAGUGGAGGAAAUCGACACUCAAAGCUUGAACAUUUGGUGAAAAUAGACACCUAUUUGUUAUAAGGCCAGAAGAUUUAAGAACAAAAAAUAUCCCCAGAACUCGACUUCAUCUAAACAUCAACAUUUUUAUAAGAGAUGAUAACCAUGUUAUCAGUUUAGUGAAUAAAAUUAAGAGAUUUGGGGGUUGGAUGGGUCCAUAACAAUUGAAACUGAUGUCACCCACAGACUUUAGAAGGCCCAGAUGGUUUUCUAGCCACAGAGUCUAAGUAAGAUGGAAGUUUGCAGCUUGGGUGAGCAUUUCAACUUAAAUGAAAUGUGGCCCCUCCGUUACAUGUUGUUUAUCUUUGUUUCUCUCACCUUCUGCUUUCUAUCCUUUCCCCUCCCCUCAAAAUUAGAUAGAAUCAAGGAAUCUGAAGGCAAUUGUGCUUAUAGAAUGUGGAGGGGACACUGACAGAGAAUAGGUAUGAGAAUAGGACCCCAACAUAAAGUAGGAAGGAGGAAUGACACUAUUAUUAGACAUCAUCAUUCAGAAUUGUUCUUGAGUUCUACUUUUUUUUAGGGGUUCUGUGGAAAUUUUUCUGACUAUAAUUUGGUCUUGAAUAUUUAAGGCAAAUUUUUUGAGGGAUGGUCUAUGUGCAGGUUUUUUUUUUAAAUUUUAAUUUUUUAGCUUUCGUACUUGUGCAGAGAUUUCUGGUUGACUCUCUGUGGAUCUCUGUCACUGUCACUGUCUCAGUGGCAGAGAAAAGUAUGAUGCCAUUUUUGUCCUGACCUUCCUGCAUCCUUUCCUUAUGAGGCAUUUCCUAAUACAGCUCAUUAAUCUAAAGCUGGAUACACGUUCGUUUAGUGAGUGGCUUCUAAAAGUUUUUAGACAAACUCUGUCAUAUCAGUUCAAUACCUCUUCUCCUCAUCUGACUCUCAAAUACCUUCCUGUAGUCUCUUGUGAACAAUUCAUUAUUCUGUGCAAUAUUUAGGCAAAGGACCAAGAGAUGGGAAGGUGAAAUUGUAUGUAGAGAUAAACCAUAACUUAGGUCUUAGCAUGUUGGGAAGCUAGGUGUUCUAAACAAAUUCUACAGGUUGAAAUCUGUUAGAUGCAAUCAAAUAUCUUACAAAUAAUAGCCUAUCCUUCAAAAUGUACCAGCUUUACAUAGAAAAGAGGCUAAUUUUUUUUUUUGUGAAGAUUCAGUAGUCUCUAAUUUCAGGGCACUUGAACCAAGAAUCUGUUAUGUAUA